rnacentral:rRNA from 1 species
CGCCUCUUGACUCUUAUAAGAGGUCCAGCCUGCCCAGUGACCAUGUUCAACGGCCGCGGUAUCCUAACCGUGCGAAGGUAGCGUAAUCACUUGUUCUUUAAAUGCGGACUAGUAUGAAUGGCACCACGAAGGUUAUACUGUCUCCUUUUUCUAAUCAGUGAAACUAAUCUCCCCGUGAAGAAGCGAGGAUAUAUCUAUAAGACGAGAAGACCCUAUGGAGCUUUAAACAACACAGCAAUUACCUGCUAAACUAAGAAGUUUCUGAACAUUUUCAAUCUUUUAAGUAAUCUGACUGCAAGUUUUUGGUUGGGGUGACCACGGAGCAUAACACAACCUCCAUGUUGAAAGAAUUCUUUCUAAGCCAAGAACAACCUUUCUAAGCAUCAAUAUAUUGACAUCCAUUGACCCAAUACAUUUGACCAACGAACCAAGUUACCCUAGGGAUAACAGCGCAAUCCACUUCAAGAGCUCCUAUCGACAAGUGGGUUUACGACCUCGAUGUUGGAUCAGGGUAUCCCAGUGGUGCAGCCGCUACUAAAGGUUCGUUUGUUCAACGAUUAAAACCCUA